AUACGUAGGGUGCGAGCGUUGUCCGGAAUUAUUGGGCGUAAAGGGCUCGUAGGCGGUUUGUCGCGUCGGGAGUGAAAACACUGGGCUUAACCCAGUGCUUGCUUUCGAUACGGGCAGACUAGAGGUAUGCAGGGGAGAACGGAAUUCCUGGUGUAGCGGUGAAAUGCGCAGAUAUCAGGAGGAACACCGGUGGCGAAGGCGGUUCUCUGGGCAUGUCCUGACGCUGAGGAGUGAAAGUGUGGGGAGCGAACA
rnacentral:rRNA from 1 species